rnacentral:sRNA from 1 species
UUUUAUCAUAAUAAAAGAGGUGAUGGGUGGACGAUGAUUCACUAAUCUUAUUUUUGUCAUUUGAAAUCGAAUAUUUCAAAUUAUACGAAAUAGGAUUAGUCUGCCCAUUUUUAUAAACGACAAAGCUAUCGAUGAAGUAGCUUUUUUGUCAUACAAAUGUACGGCUAAUCCUUCCAAAUAACUGGGAGGAUUUUUUU